rnacentral:rRNA from 1 species
UACGUAGGGGGCAAGCGUUGUCCGGAAUCAUUGGGCGUAAAGAGCGUGUAGGCGGUUUGGUAGGUCCGCUGUGAAAACUCGAGGCUCAACCUCGAGACGCCGGUGGAAACCAUCAGACUAGAGUCCGGAAGAGGAGAGUGGAAUUCCGUGGUGUAGCGGUGAAAUGCGCAGAUAUCAGGAAGAACACCCGUGGCUAAGGCGGCUCUCUAGUACGGUACUGACGCUGAGACGCGAAAGCGUGGGGAGCGAACAGG